GACGAACGCUGGCGGCGUGCUUAACACAUGCAAGUCGAACGGAAAGGCCCUGCUUUUGUGUGGUGCUCGAGUGGCGAACGGGUGAGUAACACGUGAGUAACCUGCCCUGGACUUUGGGAUAACUUCAGGCAGCUGGUGCUAAUACCGGAUAGGAGCUCCUGCUGCAUGGGGGGGGUUGGAAAGUUUCGGUGGAGGGGGAUGGAGGCGGGGCUUAUCAGCUGGUUGGGGGGGGAGUGGCUAACCAAGGGUUUGGAGGGUAGCCGGCCUGGGAGGGUGAACGGCCACCUUGGGCCUGCGGUACGGCCCAGUCUCCUACGGGAGGCAGAAGUGGGGAAUAUUGCACAAUGGGCGGAAGCCUGAUGCAGCAACGCCGCGUGCGGGAUGACGGCCUUCGGGUUGUAAACCGCUUUAGCCUGUGACGAAGCGUGAGUGACGGUAAUGGGUAAAUAAGCACCGGCUAACUACGUG
rnacentral:rRNA from 1 species